rnacentral:rRNA from 1 species
GUAAGACUGGGAUAACUCCGGGAAACCGGAGCUAAUACCGGAUAGUUCCUUGAACCGCAUGGUUCAAGGAUGAAAGACGGUUUCGGCUGUCACUUACAGAUGGACCCGCGGCGCAUUAGCUAGUUGGUGAGGUAACGGCUCACCAAGGCGACGAUGCGUAGCCGACCUGAGAGGGUGAUCGGCCACACUGGGACUGAGACACGGCCCAGACUCCUACGGGAGGCAGCAGUAGGGAAUCUUCCGCAAUGGACGAAAGUCUGACGGAGCAACGCCGCGUGAGUGAUGAAGGUUUUCGGAUCGUAAAGCUCUGUUGUUAGGGAAGAACAAGUGCAAGAGUAACUGCUUGCACCUUGACGGUACCUAACCAGAAAGCCACGGCUAACUACGUGCCAGCAGCCGG